GACAGAGGGUGCAAACGUUGUUCGGAAUUACUGGGCGUAAAGCGCGUGUAGGCGGCCUCGCAAGUCGGGUGUGAAAGCCCUGGGCUCAACCCAGGAAGUGCACUCGAUACUGCAAGGCUUGAGUUCCGGAGAGGAAAGCGGAAUUCUCGGUGUAGAGGUGAAAUUCGUAGAUAUCGAGAGGAACACCGGUGGCGAAGGCGGCUUUCUGGACGGCGACUGACGCUGAGACGCGAAAGCGUGGGGAGCAAACAGG
rnacentral:rRNA from 1 species